rnacentral:rRNA from 1 species
GUACGAGAGGACCGGGAUGGACGAACCUCUGGUGCACCAGUUGUCACGCCAGUGGCACAGCUGGGCAGCUAUGUUCGGAUCGGAUAAACGCUGAAAGCAUCUAAGCGUGAAGCCGACCUCAAGAUAAGAUAUCCCACCAGGUCAACUGGGUAAGACCCCUUGAAGACUACAAGGUUGAUAGGCAUCAUGUGUAAGCGUCGUGAGACGUUGAGCAAGGAUGUACUAAUAGGUCGAGGGCUUGACCCC